AGACCAGGGUCUAAUGUGACAGGUGUACUCUCUGCCAGCUCUCACAGCACACCCACAGCCACUUACACUUAUCAGGUGCUAUGGGGAGAAGAUCCACUGUUCACUUGCCUAUCCCAUCUGGACAAGAAGAAUACCUAUGUAAGAAUGCUGUUUAUUGACUACAGCUCAGCCUUCAAUACCAUAGAACCCGCCAAGCUUGUCAUUAAGCUCAGGGCCCUGGGUCUGAACCCCGCCCUGUGCAAUUGGGUCCUGGACUUCCUGACGGGCCCUCCCCCCAGGUGGUGAAGGUAGGCAACAACACCUCUACUAUGUUUAUCCUU
rnacentral:lncRNA from 1 species